rnacentral:rRNA from 1 species
UUUUAUGAGAGUUUGAUCCUGGCUCAGGACGAACGCUGGCGGCGUGCCUAAUACAUGCAAGUCGAACGCUUCUUUUUCCACCGGAGCUUGCUCCACCGGAAAAAGAGGAGUGGCGAACGGGUGAGUAACACGUGGGUAACCUGCCCAUCAGAAGGGGAUAACACUUGGAAACAGGUGCUAAUACCGUAUAACAAUCGAAACCGCAUGGUUUUGAUUUGAAAGGCGCUUUCGGGUGUCGCUGAUGGAUGGACCCGCGGUGCAUUAGCUAGUUGGUGAGGUAACGGCUCACCAAGGCCACGAUGCAUAGCCGACCUGAGAGGGUGAUCGGCCACAUUGGGACUGAGACACGGCCCAAACUCCUACGGGAGGCAGCAGUAGGGAAUCUUCGGCAAUGGACGAAAG